rnacentral:rRNA from 1 species
AUUGAACGCUGGCGGCAGGCCUAACACAUGCAAGUCGAACGAGUGGCGGACGGGUGAGUAAUGUCUGGGAAACUGCCUGAUGGAGGGGGAUAACUACUGGAAACGGUAGCUAAUACCGCAUACCAUCAGAAGUGCCCAGAUGGGAUUAGCUAGUUGGUGGGGUAACGGCUAACCAAGGCGACGAUCCCUAGCUGGUCUGAGAGGAAGACCGGCCACACUGGAACUGGGAAACGGCCCAGACUCCUACGGUAGGCAGCAGUGGGGAAUAUUGGACAAUGGGGGCAAGCCUGAUGCAGACAUGCCGCGUGUAUGAAGAAGGCCUUGGGGUGGUAAAGUACUUUCAGCGGGGAGGCGUUACCCGCAUAAGAAGCACCGGCUAACUCCGUGCCAGCCGCCGCGGUAAUUC